GCUAUUGUCAUGGAGACGGGAAGCCGACGGCGGCGGUGGCGGGAACAGCCAGGCUGAGGUGGCAGCGAGCCGGCCGAGACUGAGGCGAGGCCGAGCGGCCUGGAGCGCGCGGAGCCGGCCAGUGGCGGCCUCUCAGGCAGCCAAGGGGCAGUGUCUUCCGGGGCUCGGGCAACGCCCGGGUGGUCGCGGGGAGUGCCCCGAAGCGUCCCCGCUCUGCUCGCAUCGCUCCCGCCUCUCGCGGCCCCUCAGCUCCCCAGCGCCCUCCCCCCGGCUCCGCCCGCCGCCGGCUCCGCCCGCCGCCGCCGCCGCCGCCGCCGCCGCCGCAGCCCUUCGCGCUAAAGGUCGGUAGCGGCCCGCGCGCGCCGCCCGCCGGGGGCUCGCGCCAGCCACGAGGGAGCGUCCGCGGCUCGCGCGCCCGCGCCGUGGAGGAGAGGUUUUAAGUAUGAUGUUUCCGUAAUACAUUUGGAUGUUUUCAGCUAAGCUCACUUCUGAACUAUGGGGUUCCUCCAAAUGUUGACUGAAAUUUGUCCGUGUGCACCCCCAGGCUCAUCUGCAAAAUCUACAGUCCAUAAUGGAGCUACUGUACUGGCUAUUGGAAGAAGGAGAUUCUGAAGAUAGGGAGCGUGUGUGUCAGAGAUAUCAUCUAGCUUAUGAAGGGAGUUUGAAGAGGCCCAUUGAAAUUUCUGGAUUCCUUUAAAAGGAGGUGGAUGUAGCCAUGUUGCUAAAGGAGCUUCUGCCACUUAGCAGCUGUGUGACCUCUGGCAGGAAAUUUGUGGAGGGUUGGACUAAAUCUCAAGAUCCCUUCAAGUCUAAAGAAGAUUCUACAAAUACUAACAACCACGAAAUGAAAGGAACGCAAGUCCAGUGGUGGAUUUUUUGCAGACUUUAGCAGGCUCUGGCACCAUGCCUACCCCUCAGGAAUGUGCUGGAUGAAUCUACCAAUGUUUGUGGUAAGGCAAUGUGACUCAUGGAAGGAUGAACCUCCCUAGAAGGCUCGGUGAGCUCAAGGAUGCCCUGACACUUCUUCAAGGGGAGGAAAAGAAAGUAAGAACUUUGCAUGCAGACACUAAAUGACUUGGAGAUCGCUUUCAGUAAUGUAUGAUAUAGUUUUAAACUUUUUGGAAAAUAUGGAUCCUCCUUAAACUAUUAAGGUAAACUCAAUCAUCUAAAGUAGAGAGCUUCUCAAAACCUUGAUGUGCAUAUGAAUCACUUGGGGAUCUUGUCUGAAUGCAAAUUCUGUGAUUGGCUGGGGGGCUCCGGGUAGGACUGAGAUUCUGCAUUUCUAGCAAGCUGCUCGUCCCCAGACCUCGCAGUAGCCAGGCUCUAAAAUACAACUCUCCUGAACGCAUUCCCCUACUCGUGGUACUAUAUGCGCAUAUACACAUGCUUUCUAUAUAUCUUUAUAUUCCUGCUUUCUAAAACAUUAAUUGGGAAAUAGGCCAUCAUUACAGAAACCGCAAUGUGCUUCAUGGAAAAAACAUUGGGUACCAAGGCAAAACAUUGACAAAUUGAUACUUUCUUGCUUGGUCAUGCCUGAUUUAAGGAGAUGAAGCCAAAAUAGGCUAUGUGAAUUGGAAAUUGACUUCAACCACAUUUAAAUUAUUCUCUUUUAAAAUAUUAGCAGUUGAGUGUGUAAACCAAUAUUUAUUUUCUAAUCAAAGGUUUGUGGCAAAUGGUUGAUAAAUGAAAGAAAUGAGGGAAGAAUGCUUUGAAAUGCUUCUAGUAACAGAAAUGGAAAUAGGAUAUUUUAUUUCUUUAAAUGGCAGACACAGGCCUCAACUAAAAUUCACCCUGCUCUAGGAAAAGGAAAUUAUAUGAAAAACUGAUCAUAGUAUAAAAGCACAGGCCGGCACCUCUCUGCCAGCGAUCAUAAUAAGUAUUUUUUUGGGGAAAAAAAAGUUGAAGAUCCAGCUACAUUAAGGGAGAAUCUAUUAACAGAGUAAUUGUAUAGAGAGGAUCCCUUAAGAAAAGCUUCCAAAAUUCCAUUAUCUUAACUGUCACUCGCCACUUUGAGUUGUCUUGGAGCUGUGUGUUUUCAUGAAUUACCAGAGCUGUUUGUUUUUUCCUUUAUCAGUCAUCACCCUGUCAGCCGGGCCAUUCAUAACAACUUGUGGCAGCUCCUCAGGAGAGUUCAGAGCUUGAAUAGGACCCUAUCAACUCUCACACCUCAUUGUGUGAAACUGUUUACCAGCAUUGCCUUUUUCUGUAAAUAUUACAAGCAGAGCCCUGAAAGUGGAGAUGUGUGAAAACAAAAUGGACAAACCUUGUAGCAGUUGGCUGAGAUGGCAGAUGGGGGGUGACUGAGAAUUUGCAAGUCCUGGUGUUUCCUUUAUUCGGCUGAAUACUGCCUAGUCACUGGGCUUGCAUACACAUCGCAUACGCGUUCUCGUGUAUGCUUGUUAAUUAGACAAUAUUGAAUUUGACUUAACAUUUGUGUCAGUUUGGUGAAAGUGAGACUUUGUAAUUAGGGAGUACAGACCGGGUUUCUGUCACCAUUCUACUCACUUACCCUGAUUUAAUGCCCCCUUUUCCAGUGUAUUGUCACACUUGGUGUGCUGAGUUCCCCCGCUGUCUUUUAUGCUUGACUAGUAACAAGGUGGCCCACAUUAUACAACCACCAGCAAAUGGACUCUGUCUCCUGGACUUAACAGCCUGAAGUUUCUGCCAGAUUCACCCAUCAGAAAUAAUUUCUUAUUUAAAGCAAAUGUCAACAAUUCUCUAUUGAAGCUAAUAUCAUGAACUUGCAAAUGGGUAUGAUUUUUUUGUUCUCUAUUUUUAUUGAAGUUAUAUAUGCACAGAUUUUGAAGUGUCAGGUAGUUCCAGGUUUUGUGACAAAAAAAGAGCCAUCUCCCCAGCCUCCCACCCCUACCGCCACAGGCAACCACUUUCAUUUCUUGCAGCAGAUUAUUUAGAAAAAUAACUUCACAGUGAGAAAUAGGUUGUUUCACUGUACCUGUUUUUGGAUGUUACAUAGAUGGAAUCAUUGCUGUGAUUCACUUCUUCCACUUACCAUGAAGCGGUCUUGGGAUGGAGUGAAAGUAGACGCACAUAGUCAAUCUACCAUCUUUACCUGGAAGUCAAACGUGAAUUUCAUUAUUUAAAUUAAGAUGAAGAUAAACUGAGGCACAGAAGAUUAAGUAAUUUUUCCAAAGAUUCAGAAAUAGAAAACGACAGAACUUGGCUCCUUAACCACCAUAUGUAUUCUGACCACCUCCAACAAAUUGGAAGGUGGUGGCUUUUAGGGAACAAAGUUUGCCAUCCUGAUGCACCAGGUCUUUAAUGAUGUCAAUAAAGAAACAGCCCACCCUUUGGUUAAAAGACUCUGAGCCUUCAAGGACCACUGGUUGUCCAGAGGAAGCCAUGGUUAUUCUGGUGAAGCACGAGGCCACGGUCGUUUUGAUUAGUCACUCAAUGGAGGGUCCAAAGCUUAAGCAGAAUAAACUCAGGACAGACAACACUGGAACUCUGGGAGUGUAACCUCACCAGCAGAUGAGGUAGUGAUGGAUGACUCCUGACUGUGGAGUCCUUUUCAUCUCUCAAUUUAUAUUCUGAGUUGUUACCUAGAAUAAAUCCUACUGUUUCU